UCUUAAAUAUCAUUUACCUUGAUCAUAGGUACAUUCCAUGUUUUGUUGUAGAUGUUCAUUGCUAUUGUAAUGUUUGAUGAUGCACAAACUUCCUGAAUCUUUUCUUCUUCUACAAAUAUAGACAAUAUAGUAUAGCUAUUAUAUAAUUUAUACUUUCUUUAUUAUUAUAUAGAACCAUUCUUAAAUAUCAUUUACCUUUAUCAUAUGUACAUUCCAUGUUUUGUUGUAGAUGUUCAUUGCUAUUGUAAUGUUUGAUGAUGCACAAACUUCCUGAAUCUUUUUUUUCCUACAAAUAUUUAGCCUUUUCAUCUGAUACAAAAUUGCAUUUUGGACCUUCAUUUGGCUACGAC
rnacentral:lncRNA from 1 species